UCCAGCAGCCAUAUCACCCUGUAGUUCUCAGCUGGCAGCCCACUGAAGCUCAGGAGGAUUGAGCCUGGCCAGUACCUGUAUGGGAGACCUCCUGGGAAAGCUAAGGCUGCUGCUGGAA
rnacentral:rRNA from 1 species